CUUAAGUCCCAAAUUGGGUUCUUCGAUCCCCAAGUUCACUUUCUUCAGCCUCGUCGUUUUUGUGCGUCUCCUUCCUUUCUUCACAUAGUUCCCUCUGUUGCAAUACGCUCCGUGAGUUUGUCCAUUAGUCACCGGUGGUGGUCCGUGACGGUGGUCAGUGGUGCGUUGAUCGGUCUUAGUUCACGGUGCGUGGUGUUUUCAGGGAGUUGGGGGCUAGGGUUCGUAUUGCGCUGGUUGGUUCGUUGAGGGCUGGUGGUGUGGAGGUUGAGGGACUCUGUCGAAGGGGCCGUUCUGGGCUUCUGUUGUUGUCGUGGUCGUCAAGCGGCAUCUUGGUAGAGGAACUUGGUUAAGGGACUUCGUUGGAGUGGCUGACUUGUGGGGCGUGGCCGUCGUGGUGUAGAAAGGUUGCCAUCGUCAAGGGCUAUCUCGAUUGAGAUGGCGAGGAGGUUCCUUUGGAGACAGCUUUGGAAGUUGAAGACAAUGCUGCUACCUAGUCCCCUAGAAUGUUAUUAGUUUGAUUUUGUACUCUGAAAUACUACUUCCCUUUCAGCUUACAUUUUAGAUCUCUUUGGAGUUUAAGCCUAUAUUCUGAAGUUACUAAGAGGAUGACUGUAAUCCUAUUUACUCUCAACUGCUUUCCUA